ensembl:lncRNA novel transcript, antisense to ZNF281
AGUGUUUGGAGGCGGAGUCUAACAACAGGUGGCUAGGUCAUGAGGGCUCUGCCUCAUGAAUAAAUUAACGCCGUUAUCGCGGGAGUGGGUUUGUUAUAUCAGGAGUGGGCUCCUUAUGAAAGCAGUGGAGGAAGAAGAGAAUCACCACAUAUCGUAUUUAGAGGUCCUGCAGAAAGGGCAGAGCGAGUUUCAUGUUUGAGUGCAGCGGAUGCAUGGGCAAAGCAUUACACAGCCGCUCCAUGGAAGUGACAAUGAGCCUUGUCUUUCACACGUAACUCCAGGAACCAGGGGAAACAAAACCAAUUCCACCCAGAGGUACAGACAAAGAAGAGCACCCUCCCAAAGGAGCCCGCAUGAUAAGUGGCCACGGCGAACAUCACUGUGAUCAGUCAGAAAGGUAAAUAAAAAUCAAAGAGCGUUCGAGGCAGCCGCAUUGACUCACCUUGCAGACAAGCAAGCAGAGCCGCAGAGCAGUGACCCGUGCCCAGCGCCUCGCAGCUAGAGCUGGAUUGGAAUCCAGGGCUUUGCAGGCUUCCUGCUUCACUCAAUCCUCUUUCUGUUGCCUCUGGCCUCAAGGUGUUGGCCUGGGAGGAAGUAGCAGAUUAAAUUCCAUGGGCACGAAGUCCGUAGCUGACGAAUACUUAAUAUGUUGCAGUUUCACAGUGAAAGUUGGCAAGUCCAGGGUGGGAACAUGCCCCAAGCAGCUGAGUCUUCUGGAUUUUACUUCUGUUCUUUGCCUCUCAAUUUUUGAUUUUGUUAUAUAAAAAGCAAAUCAGUAA